UUCAAAUAUAGUAAAAUAUUAAGCCUACACAUGCCAUUUUUGUAGUUUCUCGCCUGACUCCAAUUAAAAGUUGUAAGCAUAUAUAGCAUUGCAAUCUAACCAAAUGAAUAACUAACAAUUAAUAUAAUUAACAACUUUGAUGUGCUUUAUCACACUUGCACAACCUUGUUUUUUAGCGGAUUUCUCACAUAGUUAAAAAUGGAUUUAAGAUCAUGCACCUUGUACUAUAACUUUACAAGUCCCUCCAAAACGCUGGAAAUGCCAUUUCAGUGUACCAAAUAAAAAAAAAUUCGGGUAGCAUACCUCCAGAUCUUCCUAAUUUGGAGUCCUGUGCUCAACUCCAGAGUGAUACUUUUGGGGUCGUUUUGAAUUUACAGUGAUAUAAUAAGGGAGAAAGAUUCCGUAAAUAGCAGGGAAAGCAGGGCUGAUUAGUUGAAGGAAUCAGAUAUAUUGUGACAUACAUCACUUCUGAGACAUCUCAAACAGGAAAUCUCUGCGUGCAUCCUGCGACAACACUGCGCAUGCGGAUAGGUUUUCACCUAAAAGCAAGUUGUCCAUUCUACAAUCGUGGAAAAUGAUGUGAACGGUCUGGUCUGUACCAGUGUAGGUAGUGCUAAUAAUAACAAGCUUUCGUUGGUAGGAUGCAACUACCUGGUAACAAAAUUCUCAUUUGCCUCUGUGAGGGUUUUAAAUCUUAACUAGAAUAUCCCCAGCUCGCCCUAAACAAUGCUGUCCGAUUGCGUUUAAAAAUGUGUGGAAAAUAAUAGCAACAUUGGAUUGGAGAGAAAGGGCUAAACCCACUGAAGUUAGUUGAAUGUCUUUUCUUAAAAUGUUGGUCUAUUGUAAAUUUAGUGUGCAAAACGCGUAAGGUUGUAAAAUAUAAAUUGCUGAUUCAGCACAACGUGUGACGUCA